ensembl:lncRNA
GAGGGAGGCAUUCCUGGCUGACGGUCCACACAGUGGAGGAGGGAUGAGAGAUGAGACCUAAGGCAAUAAGAAGGUUGUGAAUGCAGACAUAUCUUCUAAACUUUCCUCGGAGGGCUGUGGGGAGCCACAACAGGUUGCUCAGAGGGCCCGACGGCAUCAGGUUGGUCUCAGGGAUCGUCAGUGUGACUGCGGUGGGGAGGAGGCCCAGGAGUGGACAGGAGUGGAGGCGGUACAGGCCAUGGUGAGGAGACGUGGAGAUGGGAGCCCACCCACCCGGGCUCCUUCGCUGUGCGUGGGUGGGGCUGGAGGGUGUCCAGACACACAGGUUCCCUUGACCCCUCCUCCCCCUCAGCUACAGUGGUUGUGGGCUGGGGAGAGUAGCAGGUUUCCCUUCCUGAACGGCUAUCAUCCCCAGCCCGGCUCAGGCCGAGUCCAGCUCCAGCCCCAGUGGCUAAUCCUGGUGACACUGGGUCCUGAGGCCGGGGCGGGGCAGCCGGGCAGCUGGCCUCAAUUAGCCGGGGAGCCGGGUCUGGACAGUGUCAUUAGGAGAAAACCAGAGCCUGGCCAUAAACUCUAAUGAAUGCAUUAAUGGAAGGCUUGUGCGCCUCAAAGGGGAAAAAAAAAAAGCGGGUCUAAAUAAAGUUAUUAACACAGCCCACCUGUGUUCGGCUCUCGGCCUAUAUUGUUCAAAUAGCCCAUUAACUCCUGAAGCAUCCAGUCUUGAAAGCAAGCCCUGCCUCUCUGAAGCAGGCGUUUAACUGCGUUCAUAUAAUUCAAUUAGAUCCCGCAGUCGUGGUCCAAAGGCAUUCUCUGGGCUUUCAUCUCGGUAGCCUGGGAGAGAGAUGGGCCCGUGCACCUGUCCACAGAGAGCCUCCAUGCAGCCGUACCUCCUGGGCCGGCCCUGGCACCGCCAGCUCCUGAGUUCGCCCUGCCCCUCGGACGCCGGCAGAUCUUGCCGGAGAUCAUUUUCUGAAAGACUCGCCUCCUGACCUCUUGCCGGGAGCCGCGGACAAGAUUAGUUUUAAGCCGCGGCCCAGCCGGUUACUUUCAGCAGAGGGUCCGAGAGUGUCCACGAGCGGGGUGUUAUUGUGUCACACAAAGGAAUGUUGUAAUCAUCCUCUAAGACCCUCCUUGGGGGACCACUGUGCCCUGGUUUUCAAGAGCUUUGGCAGAUGCUGCUUUGAGAGUUGCCAUUUGAAACUCAAGAGCACCCAUCCUGGUACCGGUCCUGUUCAAGGCAAACUGCCGUCAUCCAAGAGACGCCCAGGUGUCGGGGACCACAGGCGAGCUGUAAAUAACCCAGUCCGUGGCUGUAGAUCACCUCUGGCUGGACAGCCACGCCACCUCCACGGCCGCCCAGCUGGUAGACGCAGCCGCCUUUGGGAACAGGUGGCCCGCAGGGGCGGUGGCUGGUCUCCGCCGCAGCCUUGGAGGACCAGCCUGAUUCCAGCCUCAGACAACCCACCCACCCAGUGCUCGACCAGGCCCCAGCCACAGGCUUUCACGUUAAACAGGUUCUGACACUAAAAAUCAAGGUCUGCCGGCUGUUGUCAUAGGAAUGCAAUAUCCUCCGGAGGUCUCCUUAUUAAAAAACCACAUCUUGCGGCUGCCCAGGCUGGAUCUCUAUUUCAUUUGUAUUGAUCACAGGGAAAUGUCUCAUUCCCUGGCUGACAAAUGCAGCCAGUAGGGAGGGAGUCCGUGUUUGGUGGAAAACAUUUAUGUUCACAGUGAUCUGGGGGAUCCUGAGGCCGGAGCUGUGAGGUUUUGUGUGUGUGUGUGUGUGUCUGUGGGGAGCGGGGGGCGUCAUCUCUAGUUAUGCUGUGGGAUUACAAACGUAGUGAUAACAGGGGCUUCGGAAAUUAGCCAGGGUGACCACUUCAUUUUAAAGACUUUGGGUCAAGGAUGGGACCUGACUUCCCCUCUUCCCGGGUAGUAGCGCUUCUAGGAGUCUGCCCUAUAGAUGGUACCUGCCAUUGUGUGAAGGGAUAUUCAACACAGCACUGCUUGAGGUGCCAAGUUGGGGAAACCACCUCCACAUCCAUUACUGGAGAUUGGGUUAAAAAAAAAAGUAUGAUAUUAGGCAGAACCACGUUAAGCUGCCACUUCUGCUGGUCAAAAAUGGUUGAAUAUUGAUAAUCUCAUAUGGGUCCAUCUACCACCUCUACCG